rnacentral:snRNA from 1 species
AUCACUUUUAGACCUUUUGGCUAAGAUCAAGUG